rnacentral:rRNA from 1 species
UACGUAGGGUGCAAGCGUUGUCCGGAAUUAUUGGGCGUAAAGAGCUCGUAGGCGGUCUGUCGCGUCGGCUGUGAAAUCCCGGGGCUCAACCCCGGGUCUGCAUUCGAUACGGGCAGACUAGAGUUCGGUAGGGGAGUCUGGAAUUCCUGGUGUAGCGGUGAAAUGCGCAGAUAUCAGGAGGAACACCGGUGGCGAAGGCGGGACUCUGGGCCGAUACUGACGCUGAGGAGCGAAAGCGUGGGGAGCAAACAGG